rnacentral:rRNA from 1 species
GAUGAACGCUAGCGGCAGGCCUAAUACAUGCAAGUCGAACGGUGUCUUCGGACAUAGUGGCGCACGGGUGCGUAACACGUAUGCAACCUACCUUACAUUGGGGGAUAGCCUUUCGAAGGGGAGAUUAAUACCGCAUAAGACAGUAGCUGGGCAUCCAGCAGCUGUUAAAGAUUUAUCGAUGUAAGCUGGGCAUGCGUCCAAUUAGCUAGUUGGUGAGGUAACGGCUCACCAAGGCAAUGAUUGGUAGGGGAACUGAGAGGUCAAUCCCCCACACUGGCACUGAGAUACGGGCCAGACUCCUACGGGAGGCAGCAGUAGGGAAUAUUGGGAAAUGGACGCAAGUCUGACCCAGCCAUGCCGCGUGCAGGAUGAAGGCGUUAUGCGUUGUAAACUGCUUUUAUACAGGAAGAAACGACUCUUGCGAGAGGCAUUGACGGUACUGUAUGAAUAAGCACCGGCUAACUCCGUGCCAGCAGCCGCCGUAAUAC